GGAAGUAUAGCUCAGUGGUAGAGUGUAUGACUGGCAUGCAUGAGGUCCUGGGUUCAAUCCCCAGUACCUCCA